rnacentral:misc_RNA from 1 species
UCUCCGUAGGUGAACCUGCGGAGGGAUCACUACAGGCUUGCAAAAGCUCUGAAACCACUGUUUAUCUACCUGAAUCUGCUUCGGCGGGCGGCCCCAGGGCGGGGCCGUGGCCGCAAGGCGCCCGCCGAAGACCCCUAAACUCUAUCGUCUUGAGAAUCUCUGAGUAUCAUAUUAAACAAAAAAACAACUUUCAACAACGGAUCUCUUGGCUCUG